GGAGAGGUGUCCGAGUCGGCCGAAGGAGCUCGCCUGCUAAGCGAGUAAGCGGGGAUAACCUGCUUCGAGAGUUCGAAUCUCUCCCUCUCCGCCA
rnacentral:tRNA from 1 species